GACGAACGCUGGCGGCGUGCUUAACACAUGCAAGUCGAGCGGGAUCCAACCGGUGGCAACACCGGGGAAGAUCUAGCGGCGAACGGGUGAGUAACACGUGAGCAACCUGCCCCGAAGACUGGGAUAACACCGGGAAACCGGUGCUAAUACCGGAUGUCGUCAUUAGGCCGCAUGACCUGAUGGUGAAAGGAUUCAUCGCUUCGGGAGGGGCUCGCGGGCUAUCAGCUUGUUGGGGGGUAACGGCCUACCAAGGCGACGACGGCUAGCUGGUCUGAGAGGACGACCAGCCACACUGGGACUGAGACACGGGCCCAGACUCCUACGGGAGGCAGCAGUGGGGAAUCUUGCGCAAUGGGCGAAAGCCUGACGCAGCAACGCCGCGUGGGGGAUGAAUGCC
rnacentral:rRNA from 1 species